rnacentral:rRNA from 1 species
UGCCUAAUACAUGCAAGUCGAACGAAUCUCUUUUAGAGAUGAGUGGCGAACGGGUGAGUAAUACAUAGGUAACCUGCCCCUGUGCGGGGGAUAACAGGAGGAAACUCCUGCUAAUACCGCAUAGCCAUGAGCACCGCAUGGAGCUCAUGCCAAAUAUCCUUUCGGGGAUAGCGCAGGGAUGGACCUAUGGCGCAUUAGCUUGUUGGCGGGGCAACGGCCCACCAAGGCAACGAUGCGUAGCCGGCCUGAGAGGGCGGACGGCCACAUUGGGACUGAGACACGGCCCAGACUCCUACGGGAGGCAGCAGUAGGGAAUUUUCGGCAAUGGGGGAAACCCUGACCGAGCAACGCCGCGUGAGCGAAGAAGGCCUUCGGGUCGUAAAGCUCUGUUGUAAAGGAAGAACGGCGCAUACAGGAAAUGGUAUGCGAGUGACGGUACUUUACCAGAAAGCCACGGCUAACUACGUGCCAGCAGCCGCGGUAAUACGUAGGUGGCGAGCGUUAUCCGGAAUCAUUGGGCGUAAAGAGGGAGCAGGCGGCCGCAAGGGUCUGUGGUGAAAGACCGAAGCUAAACUUCGGUAAGCCAUGGAAACCGGGCGGCUAGAGUGCGGAAGAGGAUCGUGGAAUUCCAUGUGUAGCGGUGAAAUGCGUAGAUAUAUGGAGGAACACCAGUGGCGAAGGCGACGGUCUGGGCCGCAACUGACGCUCAUUCCCGAAAGCGUGGGGAGCAAAUAGGAUUAGAUACCCUAGUAGUCCACGCCGUAAACGAUGGUCACUAAGUGUCGGGGGUCAAACCCCGGUGCUGCAGUCAACGCAAUAAGUGACCCGCCUGAGUAGUACGUUCGCAAGAAUGAAACUCAAAGGAAUUGACGG